rnacentral:rRNA from 1 species
GAUGAACGCUGGCGGCGUGCCUAAUACAUGCAAGUCGAGCGAACAGACGAGGAACUUGCUCCUCUGACGUUAGCGGCGGAAGGGUGAGUAAGACGUGGAUAACCUACCGAGAAAACUGGGAUAAAUUCGGGAAACCGGAGCUAAUACCGGAUAAUAUAGUGAACCGCAUGGUUCAAUAGUGAAAGAGGGUUUUGCUGUCAAUGAUAGAUGGAUCCGCGCCGCAUUAGCUAGUUGGUAAGGUAACGGCUUACCAAGGCAACGAUGCGUAGCCGACCUGAGAGGAUGAUCAGCCACACUGGAACUGAGACACGGUCCAGACUCCUACGGGAGGCAGCAGUAGGGAAUCUUCCGCAAUGGGCGCAAGCCUGACGGAGCAAUGCCGCGUGAGUGAUGAAGGUCUUCGGAUCGUAAAACUCUGUUAUUAGGGAAGAAAAAAUGUGUAAGUAACUAUGCACGUCUUGACGGUACCUAAUCAGAAAGCCACGGCUAACUACGUG